GACGAACGCUGGCGGCGUGCUUAACACAUGCAAGUCGAGCGGCGCGGCGAACGGGUGAGUAACGCGUGAGUAAAUGCCCCCCUCUCUGGGAUAACAGUUGGAAACGGCUGCUAAUACCGGAUAGUGGGGGAUGACUCGCGUCCUAUCAGCUUGUUGGUGGGGUAGUGGCCUACCAAGGCGACGACGGGUAGCCGGCCUAGAGGGCGACCGGGCACAAGGGGCUGAGAUACGGCCCAAAGGCGUACGGGAGGCAGCAGUGGGGAAUAUUGCACAAUGAGGGAAACCCUGAUUCAGAGACGCCGCGUGCGGGAUGACGGCCUUGGGGGUGGAAACCGCUUUCAGCGAUGACGCGGUAGUGGCAGAAGAAGCACCGGCUAACUACGUGCCAGCAGCCGCGGUAAUUC
rnacentral:rRNA from 1 species